rnacentral:rRNA from 1 species
UACGGAGGGUGCAAGCGUUAUCCGGAUUUAUUGGGGUUUAAAAGGGUCCGUAGGCGGACUAUUAAGUCAGCGGUGAAAGCCCUCUGCUCAACGAGAGGAACUGCCGUUGAUACUGAUAGUCUUGAGUACAAGUGAGGUUGGCGGGAAUGUGUGGUGUAGCGGUGAAAUGCGUUAGAUAUCACACAGAACACCGAUUGCGAAGGCAGCUGGCCAACUUGUAACUGACGCUGAGGGACGAAAGUGUGGGGAUCAAACAGG